CUGAUCUCAAAUCAGGUAGGACUACCCGCUGAACUUAAGCAUAUCAAUAAGCGGAGGAAAAGAAACUAACAAGGAUUCCCCUAGUAACUGCGAGUGAAGCGGGAAAAGCUCAAAUUUAAAAUCUGGCAGUCUUUGAUUGUCCGAGUUGUAUUCUAGAGAAGUGUCUUCCGCGUUGGACCGUGUACAAGUCUCUUGGAACAGAGCGUCAUAGAGGGUGAGAAUCCCGUCUUUGACACGGACUACCAGUGCUUUGUGAUGCGCUCUCAAAGAGUCGAGUUGUUUGGGAAUGCAGCUCAAAAUGGGUGGUAAAUUCCAUCUAAAGCUAAAUAUUGGCGAGAGACCGAUAGCGAACAAGUACCGUGAGGGAAAGAUGAAAAGCACUUUGGAAAGAGAGUUAAACAGUACGUGAAAUUGUUGAAAGGGAAACGCUUGAAGUCAGUCGCGUUAGUCAGAACUCAGCCUUGCUUUUGCUUGGUGCACUUUCUGAUUGACGGGCCAGCAUCAGUUUUGACUGCAGGAGAAAGGUCAGGGGAAUGUGGCAUCUUCGGAUGUGUUAUAGCCUCUGAUUGUAUACUGUGAUUGGGACUGAGGAACUCAGCACGCGCAAGCUGUGCUUAGGAUGCUGGCGUAAUGGCUUUAAACGACCCGUCUUGAAACACGGACCAAGGAGUCUAACAUGCCUGCGAGUAUUUGGGUGGUAAACCCGAGUGCGCAAUGAAAGUGAAAGUUGGGAUCUCUGUCGUGGAGAGCACCGACGCCCGGACCAGACCUUCUGUGACGGAUCUGCGGUAGAGCAUGUAUGUUGGGACCCGAAAGAUGGUGAACUAUGCCUGAAUAGGGUGAAGCCAGAGGAAACUCUGGUGGAGGCUCGUAGCGAUUCUGACGUGCAAAUCGAUCGUCAAAUUUGGGUAUAGGGGCGAAAGACUAAUCGAACCAUCUAGUAGCUGGUUCCUGC
rnacentral:rRNA from 1 species